rnacentral:misc_RNA from 1 species
GAUGAGGAACGCAGCGAAAUGCGAUAAGUAAUGUGAAUUGCAGAAUUCAGUGAAUCAUCGAGUCUUUGAACGCACAUUGCGCCCCCUGGUAUUCCGGGGGGCAUGCCUGUCCGAGCGUCAUUGCCGCCCUCAAGCACGGCUUGUGUGUUGGGCCCCCGCCCCCCGGCUUCGGGGGGCGGGCCCGAAAGGCAGCGGCGGCACCGCGUCCGGUCCUCGAGCGUAUGGGGCUUCGUCACCCGCUCUGUAGGCCCGGCCGGCGCCCGCCGGCGACCCCAAUCAAUCUUUCCAGGUUGACCUCGGAUCAGGUAGGGAUACCCGCUGAACUUAAGCAUAUCAAUAAGCGGAGGA